rnacentral:misc_RNA from 1 species
GAAACAUGUUACUUGCAUUGCCAAGGCCAGUUACUAAUUUCAUUGAUCCUAGUGUGUUGAGCACUUUUGAUUGUUGUACAAGUCAGCCGGAUGAAUCAGGAUUUCUUGUCAACGAAAUUAUAGAAAGUUCAAAAAUCAAAGCCCGGACUAUGGUAGAUGCAGCUGUGCAGGCGAUGAUUUCAUUUAGUUGUAGAGAUAACGCAACUGAGAAGAUUGAGGUGGUUGAUUAUGUGAAUGAUCGAAUUCCA